rnacentral:miRNA from 1 species
CAGUAAAAAUUGAAUUUCAGAUAGACAGUGAAAAAAAUUUUAGUACAAGUAUAUCCCAAGUGAUAUUUGGGACAUACUUAUACAAAAAAAAAAUUGUUUAUUGUUUG